UUGCAAACAUUUAUUUCUUGAUUUAACCCACCACCACUAUGACCACCGACAUCUAAUCACUAAAAAUUGGGUAAAUGACUAUCUUACUUGUUUUUAUCAAUCUUUCUUAGAUCUAUAUAUAUAGCUCACAUUUAUUUCAGUGUUUACUAUUAGAAGUGUUUUGGGUCUUUAUUUAGAAAUUUGGUGAUGCUUUUGUUUUCAUUUUGAGAUGGAGUCUUGCUCUGUCUCCUGAGCUGGAGUGCAGUGGCGCGAUCUCCACUCACUGCAGCCUCCACCUCCCAGGAGAAUCACUUGAACCCAGGAGGCAGAGGUUGCAGUGAGCCGAGAUCAUGCCAUUGCACUCCAGUCUCAUGCCAUUGCACUCCAGGGCGACAAGAGCGAAACUCUGUCUCAAAAAAAAAAAAAAAAAUUGUUACGUUUUAAGAAGCACGAGUGUCAAUUAUCUAAAGGUAAAUUAGGUAUGAUUCAGAGGAUAACAG
rnacentral:lncRNA from 10 species